rnacentral:rRNA from 1 species
AGAACGAACGCUGGCGGCAUGCCUAACACAUGCAAGUCGAACGGUGAAGCCUUUCGGGGUGGGUCAGUGGCGAACGGGUGAGUAACACGUGGGCAAUCUGCCCUGCAUUCUGGGACAAGCCUUGGAAACGAGGUCUAAUACCGGAUACGACGCAUCCCCGCAUGGGGUGUGCGUGGAAAGCUCCGGCGAUGCAGGAUGAGCCCGCGGCCUAUCAGCUUGUUGGUGGGGUGAUGGCCUACCAAGGCGACGAC